AGAACUUCUCCCAUUCUCAGCCCAUAGCGCGCACCGCCAUGAAUAGAGUCUUUGCCUCGCAAGCUCCUUUUCUCGAUUGUUGCUUCCAGGACCACCACGCCGUUGCCUUCUCCGCCUCCGCCUCUGAUGGACUCAUCUGAAGGUCUUCUUCAAAUCUUCACUUUCAUGUUGUUCUGUUUUGCUCACUGUUAGGUUAGGUGGAAUGUAUGUAUGUUGUUGUGGAUCAUGGUGGCAACUGUGUAAUUGGUGUGGCAGUGGUUUUGCUUAAUUUGUUACAAUAACUCUGUACAAUUAUUUUCUUCCCUCUAUCACGUCGGUCGUUAUUUCAAA